GGCUCGGUGGUGAAUGGUCCACACCCGCUUCCAGUGGCAGGAUAUCUGGGCUUGAAGCGGGAGACACCUGUUCGAAUCAGGUCUGAGCCA